rnacentral:piRNA from 1 species
UUGGCUGCCAUUGACAUGUUGUUAUGCCA